rnacentral:lncRNA from 1 species
GGGAGUUGCGGAUCCUUUGGAGCCAAGGAAUGGAACUGACAUGCAAGAUCUCUAUCAACUGAAGGUUUCAUGAGCACGCUCCUUUGCCAAGAUUUUGGUGAAUAGUCUCUCACUGUGCGAUUAUAUUUUAGAAAUUAUUUUCCUUUUUAUCAUGAUUGUGCUUGGCUGGGUGCUUUUUGUUGGACUUGCAUGUUACAUGGGCACAUUUCCAGAGUUUGUAGUAAGUAAUGACUUUAUGUGUAAAUCCCUGGUAGCCACCUCUGGCUCUGCCUCACACCUCCAUCUGGAAUUUCUGACCAAAUUGGAGAGAGCUGAGGUCUCACCACUAAUUAGAAAUCAGGAUGUGAUGGGAACAAAGUUAGUUUCCCAGGCUCCUCCUCAUCUCAUUGGGACACUCUUCUUUUAAGUCCUUUUUGGUUUCCCCUUCUUUCUUGAAAUGUAUAAGGGGUCUGCUGGAGACAGUGCCUAGCUUCUGGAUUUUAAGACAAGUAGAUCAUGAGUUGCUGGUAGGAAUAGGGACCAUGAGGACUUGGGGGACCAUUCAGCAGUGCUUCCAGUCACCACCCAGAGUUACUUACCUACAAGGCCAACAAGUAGAGCCAUCUUGAUCUUUAAAUUUCUUUCUGACUCAGCCUCCACCUCUAAAGUGGAAACAGAAGUGGCCCAUUCGUGAGAGCAAGGCACGACGGAGGAGCCGGGCUUUGGAGGAAGAUCUGUCACUGUAAGUAGGUGGUCAGAUUUGUUGGGCUGGGUUUCC